AACGAACGCUGGCGGCAGGCUUAACACAUGCAAGUCGAACGAGAUCUUCGGAUCUAGUGGCAGACGGGUGAGGAACACGUGGGAACAUUCCUUUCAGUUCGGAAUAACGUUGGGAAACUAACGCUAAUACCGGAUACGUCCUUCGGGAGAAAGAUUUAUCGCUGAAAGAUUGGCCCGCGUCUGAUUAGCUAGUUGGCGAGGUAACGGCUCACCAAGGCUACGAUCAGUAGCUGAUCUGAGAGGAUGAUCAGCCACAUUGGGACUGAGACACGGCCCAAACACCUACGGGAGGCAGCAGUGGGGAAUAUUGGACGAUGGGCGCAAGCCUGAACCAGCCAUGACGCGUGAGUGAUGAAGGCCUUCGGGUUGUAACGCUCUUUUGUCCGGGAAGAUAAUGACGGUAACGGAAGAAUAAGCCCCGGCAAACUUCGUGCCAGCAGCGGCCGUAA
rnacentral:rRNA from 1 species